rnacentral:rRNA from 1 species
UACGGAGGGUGCAAGCGUUGCUCGGAAUCACUGGGCGUAAAGGGUAAGUAGGUGGUCUCAUUUGUCUGAGGUGAAAGCCUUGGGCUCAACCUGAGAAGUGCCUCAGAGACGGUGAGACUAGAGUCCUGGAGAGGGUCGUGGAAUUCCCGGUGUAGCGGUGAAAUGCGUAGAGAUCGGGAGGAACACCAGAGGCGAAGGCGGCGACCUGGACAGGUACUGACACUCAAUUACGAAAGCGUGGGGAGCAAACAGG